GAUGAACGCUGGCGGCGUGCCUAAUACAUGCAAGUCGAGCGAACGGACGAGAAGCUUGCUUCUCUGAUGUUAGCGGCGGACGGGUGAGUAACACGUGGAUAACCUACCUAUAAGACUGGGAUAACUUCGGGAAACCGGAGCUAAUACCGGAUAAUAUUUUGAACCGCAUGGUUCAAAAGUGAAAGACGGUCUUGCUGUCACUUAUAGAUGGAUCCGCGCUGCAUUAGCUAGUUGGUAAGGUAACGGCUUACCAAGGCAACGAUGCAUAGCCGACCUGAGAGGGUGAUCGGCCACACUGGAACUGAGACACGGUCCAGACUCCUACGGGAGGCAGCAGUAGGGAAUCUUCCGCAAUGGGCGAAAGCCUGACGGAGCAACGCCGCGUGAGUGAUGAAGGUCUUCGGAUCGUAGAACUCUGUUAUUGGGGAAGAACAUAUGUGUAAGUAACUGUGCACAUCUUGACGGUACCUAAUCAGAAAGCCACGGCUAACUACGUGCCAGCAGCCGCGGUAAUACGUAGGUGGCAAGCGUUAUCCGGAAUUAUUGGGCGUAAAGCGCGCGUAGGCGGUUUUUUAAGUCUGAUGUGAAAGCCCACGGCUCAACCGUGGAGGGUCAUUGGAAACUGGAAAACUUGAGUGCAGAAGAGGAAAGUGGAAUUCCAUGUGUAGCGGUGAAAUGCGCAGAGAUAUGGAGGAACACCAGUGGCGAAGGCGACUUUCUGGUCUGUAACUGACGCUGAUGUGCGAAAGCGUGGGGAUCAAACAGGAUUAGAUACCCUGGUAGUCCACGCCGUAAACGAUGAGUACUAAGUGUUAGGGGGUUUCCGCCCCUUAGUGCUGCAGCUAACGCAUUAAGCACUCCGCCUGGGGAGUACGACCGCAAGGUUGAAACUCAAAGGAAUUGACGGGGACCCGCACAAGCGGUGGAGCAUGUGGUUUAAUUCGAAGCAACGCGAAGAACCUUACCAAAUCUUGACAUCCUUUGACAACUCUAGAGAUAGAGCCUUCCCCUUCGGGGGACAAAGUGACAGGUGGUGCAUGGUUGUCGUCAGCUCGUGUCGUGAGAUGUUGGGUUAAGUCCCGCAACGAGCGCAACCCUUAAGCUUAGUUGCCAUCAUUAAGUUGGGCACUCUAAGUUGACUGCCGGUGACAAACCGGAGGAAGGUGGGGAUGACGUCAAAUCAUCAUGCCCCUUAUGAUUUGGGCUACACACGUGCUACAAUGGACAAUACAAAGGGCAGCGAAACCGCGAGGUCAAGCAAAUCCCAUAAAGUUGUUCUCAGUUCGGAUUGUAGUCUGCAACUCGACUACAUGAAGCUGGAAUCGCUAGUAAUCGUAGAUCAGCAUGCUACGGUGAAUACGUUCCCGGGUCU
rnacentral:rRNA from 1 species